UAGGGAAUAUUGGUCAAUGGAGGGAACUCUGAACCAGCCACGCCGCGUGCAGGAAGACAGCCCUCUGGGUCGUAAACUGCUUUUAUUCGGGAAUAAACCUACUUACGUGUAAGUAGCUGAAUGUACCGAAGGAAUAAGGAUCGGCUAACUCCGU
rnacentral:rRNA from 1 species